GGGAAAGUCCAUAGCUCAGUGGUGGAGCAUCUGAUUUGUAUGCAGAAGGUCUCAGAUUCAAUCUUUGGCAUUUCCA